GUUCGAUGUAAAACUCCAGAUUGAACGCUGGCGGGAUGCUUUACACAUGCAAGUCGAACGGCGGCACGGACUUCGGUCUGGUGGCGAGUGGCGAACAGGUGAGUAAUGUAUCCGGAACGUGCCUAGUAGCGAGGAUAACUACGCGAAAGCGUAGCUAAUACCUGUACCCUUCGGGGAAAAGCGGGGGACCUUCGGGCCUCGCACUGUGGAAACGGCCGAUAUAUCGGAUUAGCUAGUUGGUGGGGUAACGGCUCACCAAGGCGACGAUCCGUGGCUGGUUUGAGAGGACGACCAGCCACACUGGGACUGGACACGGCCCAGACUCCUGGGAGGCAGCAGUGGGGAAUUUUGGACAAUGGGGAAACCUGAUCCAACCAUCCCGCGUGUACGCGUGAGGCCUUCGGGUUGUAAAGCACUUUUGGCAGAAGAAAACGGCACGGGAUGUCCGUGCAACUGACGGUACCUGCAGAAUAAGCACCGGCCAACCUACAUUGCCAGCAGCCGCUACGGUAAUACGUAAGUUGCAAGCGUUAAUCAGAAUUACCUGGGCGUAAAGCGUGCGCGAGCGGUUCGGAAAGAAAGAUGUAGAAAUCCAAACUUAACACGGAGCUGCAUUUUUAACUACCGAGCUGAUUAAUGUCAGAGGUGGAAUUCCGCGUGUAGUAGUGAAAUGCGUAGAUAUGCGGAGGAACACCGAUGGCGAAACGGCCUCCUGGGAUAACACUGGCGCUCAUGCUGGCCCCGGUGAGGCAAACGGGAUUAGAUACCUGGUGAUCCACGCUAGAAAACGAUGUCAACUAGCUGUUGGGGCCUUCGGGCCUUGGUAGCGCAGCUAACGCGUGAGGUGACCGCCUGGGGAGUACGGUCGCAAGAUUAAAACUCAAAGGAAUUGACGGGGACCCGCACAAGCCCGGUGGAUGAUGUGGAUUAAUUCGAUGCAACGCGAAAAACCUUACCUACCCUUGACAUGUCUGGAAUCCCGAAGAGAUUUGGGAGUGCUCGCAGAGAACCGGAACACAGGUGCUGCAUGGCUGUCGUCAGCUCGUGUCGUGAGAUGUUGGGUUAAGUCCCGCAACGGCUGGCCCGCUGUCAUUGGAUUUGCUGCGAAAGGGGGGCACUCUAAUGAAGACUGCCGGUGACAAACCGGAGGAAGGUGGGGAUGACGCCAAGUCCUCAUGGCCCUUGUGGGUAGGGCUUCACACGUCAUACAAUGGUCGGGACAGAGGGUCGCCAGCCCGCGAGGGCCAAUCCCAGAAACCCGAUCGUAGUCCGGAUCUGAUCUGCAACUCGACUGCGUGAAGUCGGAAUCGCUAGUAAUCGCGGAUCAGCAUGUCGCGGUGAAUACGUUCCCAGGUCUUGUACACACCGCCCGUCACACCAUGGGAGUGGGUUUACCCCGAAGUAGUUAGCCUAACCGUAAGGAGGGCGAUUACGGUAGGAUUCAUGACUGGGGUGAAGUCGUAACAAGGUAG
rnacentral:rRNA from 1 species